rnacentral:rRNA from 1 species
UNUGACUUGAGUGCAGAAGGGGAGAGUGGAAUUCCAUGUGUAGCGGUGAAAUGCGUAGAUAUAUGGAGGANCACCAGUGGCGAAAGCGGCUCUCUGGUCUGUCACUGACGCUGAGGCUCGAAAGCGUGGGUAGCGAACAGGAUUAGAUACCCUGGUAGUCCACGCCGUAAACGAUGAGUGCUAGGUGUUAGGCCCUUUCCGGGGCUUAGUGCCGGAGCUAACGCAAUAAGCACUCCGCCUGGGGAGUACGACCGCAAGGUUGAAACUCAAAGGAAUUGACGGGGGCCCGCACAAGCGGUGGAGCAUGUGGUUUAAUUCGAAGCAACGCGAAGAACCUUACCAGGUCUUGACAUCCCGAUGCUAUUCUUAGAGAUAGGAAGUUACUUCGGUACAUCGGAGACAGGUGGUGCAUGGUUGUCGUCAGCUCGUGUCGUGAGAUGUUGGGUUAANNCCCGCAACGAGCGCAACCCUUAUUGUUAGUUGCCAUCAUUAAGUUGGGCACUCUAGCGAGACUGCCGGUAAUAAACCGGAGGAAGGUGGGGAUGACGUCAAAUCAUCAUGCCCCUUAUGACCUGGGCUACACACGUGCUACAAUGGUCGGUACAACGAGUUGCGAGCCGGUGACGGCAAGCUAAUCUCUGAAAGCCGAUCUCAGUUCGGAUUGGAGGCUGCAACUCGCCUCCAUGAAGUCGGAAUCGCUAGUAAUCGCGGAUCAGCACGCCGCGGUGAAUACGUUCCCGGGCCUUGUACACANCGCCCGUCACACCACGAGAGUUUGUAACACCC